UCAUCUUAUCCACUCUCAUAUAUCUACUCUUCUUAUUUAAUUCACUUAUUUAUCUAAUUGCCAUGCAUACUUUCUUAAUUACCCUUAACCCAAUCCCUUGGUGAAAAGAGCCUAUUACUAAUUACCGGCUUGCUAUCCCUAGCCUCCCCUAGUAACCAAUAAUGCAAUGCGAUCUGAAGCAAAUACAAUUGACCGUCCUACCCUUAUCCCUAGGCGAUAUUGGCAUAAUCAAGGAAUUUCCCACCAGUUCAUGACAUUACCGUACGUCCCCAUAUUGAUAAAGACAAACAUCUUUUACUGAAUGAGUUAAACAAUAAAAGCAUUGAGCGCAGAUGAGAACCCAACAAUUGAUAAAUAAGUAUAUGACAAGCAUAUGAAAUAAAUAAGAAUUUCAAUAUAUGAGAGUUUCAAAAGAUUACAUUGUUCCCCAACAACAUCAUUGACAUGGUGAAACUAGAUGAAAAUAAUGAAAGAAUGGAAGAAAUAACCUUAAACUUGGUUGAAUGGAGUCUAAGCAUCCAAGGAACCUCCUCCAAGGUGUGUGGAAUAGCUCUGGACGUUCUCUCUGCCAAAAGAAUCCCUUUCUAAUUCGCACUAGGGCUAUAUAUA
rnacentral:lncRNA from 1 species